rnacentral:rRNA from 1 species
UUGGACCUGAUAUCAGGCAGAUUACCCGCUGAACU